GCGGUCAUGGCGGAAUGGCAGAAGCGCUAGGUUGAGGGCCUAGCGGGAGAAAUCCCGUGGAGGGUCAAAUCCUCUCGGCCGCCUCA
rnacentral:tRNA from 1 species